UACGUAGGGGGCGAGCGUUGUCCGGAAUUAUUGGGCGUAAGGAGCGUGUAGGCGGUUCGGUAAGUCUGUCGUGAAAACCUGGGGCUCAACCCUGGGCGUGCGGUGGAUACUGCCGGGCUAGAGGGUGGUAGAGGCGAGUGGAAUUCCCGGUGUAGCGGUGAAAUGCGCAAAUAUCGGGAGGAACACCAGUAGCGAAGGCGGCUCGCUGGGCCAUUCCUGACGCUGAGACGCGAAAGCAUGGGGAGCGAACAGG
rnacentral:rRNA from 1 species